rnacentral:rRNA from 1 species
CCUACGGGGGGCAGCAGUGGGGAAUAUUGGACAAUGGGGGCAACCCUGAUCCAGCCAUGCCGCGUGUGUGAAGAAGGCCCUCGGGUUGUAAAGCACUUUCAGUGAGGAAGAACGCCUGGUGGUUAAUACCCAUCAGGAAAGACAUCACUCACAGAAGAAGCACCGGCUAACUCCGUGCCAGCAGCCGCGGUAAUACGGAGGGUGCGAGCGUUAAUCGGAAUUACUGGGCGUAAAGCGCGCGUAGGUGGCUUGAUAAGACGGUUGUGAAAGCCCCGGGCUCAACCUGGGAACGGCAUCCGGAACUGUCAAGCUAGAGUGCAGGAGAGGAAGGUAGAAUUCCCGGUGUAGCGGUGAAAUGCGUAGAGAUCGGGAGGAAUACCAGUGGCGAAGGCGGCCUUCUGGACUGACACUGACACUGAGGUGCGAAAGCGUGGGUAGCAAACAGGAUUAGAUACCCCAGUAGUC